GUGUCAGCAGCCGCGGUAAUACAGAGGGGGCGAGCGUUAUUCGGAAUUAUUGGGCGUAAAGGGCGCGUAGGCGGCCAUUCAAGUGACGGGUGAAAGCCCUCGGCUUAACCGAGGAACUGCCUGUCAGACUGGGUGGCUUGAGACCGGGAGAGGUGAGUGGAAUUCCCAGUGUAGCGGUGAAAUGCGUAGAUAUUGGGAGGAACACCAGUGGCGAAGGCGGCUCACUGGACCGGAACUGACGCUGAGGCGCGAAAGCGUGGGGAGCAAACAGGAUUAGAAACCCUGGUAGUCC
rnacentral:rRNA from 1 species